rnacentral:lncRNA from 1 species
ACACAGGAUCAAUGACACUGGUAGAUUAAACCGGGAUCAAUGCACUGGUAGAUUACACUCAACACCAGACACGUAGAGAUACUGUAUACACAUAGACACGUAGAGAUCUGUAUACACACAGAUACAUUUCCACUUAAAAGUCAGUAGUCACAUCCUCUGAUAUUUCCUCUGUUAUUUUCAGAGUUCUGUUGUGUGGACAGCUGGAAUCUUGAUCAGAAAGUGGUUCUGUUGUUCCAGGAAGAGGAUAGCCAGCAGAGGGCGCUCAUAGGCCUGAUGGUGGACAAGCUGAGAGAGCACCUCAACAGACACCUGCCUCGUCUGGGGAAGAAGAAGAUCGACGUGCUGGUGGUGAACUAUGUGGCCGCU